GGCUUAGCGUUAAAGAAGAAACCUGGAUACACUGCUGCACUUUACACCCGCGUCAUGGUAGUGCAGGCUUUGCGCUGAGCGAUUUUUGUCGGCACCCCGGACGAACGAAAGGCAUCGCUGCUAGACUGGUUGGCGGCCCUUCAGGCGUCUCUUUACAGGUUUGCAACACCCACAAAGUGAGCGCCACAGGGAACUACACAGUCUAGUGGUCUUCCGUAAGACGUCAAUGGAGCUGCAUGGGGCUACCGCCUCCACCGUUCGACUUCACGUAUUCCGUCUGCUUUCCAGAAACCCAGAGUGAGUCUUUCCACAGUUGCAGCGGUCGCAGCGAACAACAUGGGCACGUGCCUAUCUGAGUCUGAGCCUUAUCGACCACGAUGCAGUUCUUAGUAUUAUUGGCGAAUGCAGGACAAGUGCGGCAUCUACCUAUGAUGCGUUUUCCCAUGAAGCAGAGCAGCUGCUCCGUUCGGUUUCACAAGGUCGACUGUUGGAGAAAAACGCUGCAACUGCCUUGUCUCAGGAAGGAAAAUCCUCAGUCGCUGCACGAUAGGGUGGGGAGGCUGGGCGCGGCGGCACAGGACCCUACCAGAUAGCGGGAAUUCCGGAGCAUAAAAUGCUAUUGCGCGGCAUUCCAAUUUGCAUUCUUCAGAAAGGUUCGCUGAACACUAGAACUCUCUACCGUUUCUUCACAAGUUCCUGUGCGCAGAUCACGGUCGCCAAGAGUCGCUGAGCGGUUCUCGACUCAGAUUCCCGUGUUGGUUGUUUGGUAACCCAAAUUGUGUUUUCCCAGGUGUUUGCGUGUCUCAUGCAAAAUGCGUUACUGCGUUUGUCGCCAGAUCCGUUCGUCUCAUCAACGCUGUCUUUCCCCGUGUUUCGGUCUUUCCUUUUCCACAGCCUCCGUUUUCCAUAGCUUGCUCAAACGUUUUUAACAUCUGCACUGUCGCACCGUUCGUCAUCCGCGAGGCGCGCAACACCCUUUUCGACGCUCACUGGAUUCGACUCGUUCGCGUUGUCAUGACUCGCUGAAAAACCAUGGGAACCGACGACUUUCGUCGUCAAAGACGGCGGAGGGUGCAACGACGCGCCUACGUUUGCAGGAAGAUUGGCAGGGGGAAGGGGGAAGAAGCCGAGUCUCCGCAGAGCCUGGAGAGAACGUAGGAAGCAAAAGCACCAAGGGGAAGGCCGGACGUCUCAUGAUAUCAAAUGCCCGCUGAAACGCGGUGACGCAGACAACGUGAAGGGCUGCCUGAACGCGCGCGUCAACUGUCGCUUCUAGCCAAGUUUGCCACCUGAAAAGGGGAAACGUUAAACCGGUGCUCGCGGACUCUCACCUUGUCUUCUUCAGCCCGAUUCGGGAGCAAGAACUCCUCCCACGACUUUUCCAUCUGAACGCGACGCUCCUUGACUAGCCAAUCCUCGGGGCCCAGCAACUGACGAAUCGUGCUGACGGCUUCUUGCAGGCCCAAACCGAACCGUGCUGAAACGCCUGAUAUUGACAAGGCACCACGAACGAGGGGAGAGAAAAGAGAAGGCGGGGGUUCACGACGCAGCAGAGCGACAAUCACACAACAUGAUAGGCAACGGGAAACGGAACAGAUCAAAAACACACAUGGCGGGUGUCUCUGCGUUCAGACGCUGCCCCAAAUAACCCUUAUAUGUAGCGAAGCCGCGGAGCAGAAGCUGUCGAAUGGAAACGCAUUUGUAGGUCGUGCCCUCAAAACAGUUCAACGUCGUCAAUCCGCUCGUCCAUUCAUCCCUUCCAGGUAGCUUUGUUCCUUUCUCGACCCCCCCUAUUUGAGCCUGAGGCUUCGGGUGGGGCGACUGUCUCGCCUCCAAUCGACGCCAGCACUCACCGACGAUAGGAAUAUCUGGAUACUGGCUUCGCAGCCGGUAGUACAGCGAAUCGAGGUGAUAGAGAGACCCUCGAUGUAGGGCGUCGCACUUUGUCGCGAGGACCUAGCAGAAAAAGACGACAAAAGGCAAUAUUGGCGGACGAAGUAAAUUUAUGCCCCUUCGGAUGUACGCGCACGAGAGCUAUGAGCACGAUAGGAAAGAAGAGAACAUUACCUUUUGUCAGAUAAAGGAAAUCCUCAAAGGGGUCGCCCCGUCCCGUGACACCGGCGAAUGACGUCGCGUGGUCGCCGCCCCAUCCCGCCUCGCCGACGCCUUCCGGGCGCCUCUCGUAGCUCUCUGCGUCCCCGCUUCGGCUCUGAUCGUCUGUGAGCAGACUUCGCUCCUUCCCCUUCCUGC
rnacentral:lncRNA from 1 species